CCUUAAAGUUGCUGUCCUGACCUCGGCUUUUCUCCAAGUAUGGACAGAGGAAGCCGCUGAACUUGCAGAAGGAGUGGCCAAUCAGGAACUUCUGUGAUGCUUGGAAGCAGCAGAUGGACACAAAUCUUGCUACCUGGUAAAUAGAAACAUCCUGUCCCAAUCUGAAGGCAAGAUUGAGACUUCAAAACUCAUAGUGCUUGUUAGACCUCUCCUGUGUGGAUUUCUAUAUUCUCCCAUCCAAUUUAGAAAAUUGUGAGUGCUUGGCAUGAGAGGCAUCCUCUUCGGAUUCUCCAAUCUUCUUAGCAAGUGGAAGAAAACAUCUGGCUAGAGAUUUCAAAUAUUAAAAACAUUGCUUUGGAAGUAAACUGUAAUCAGGAAAUCUGGAUGAUUUUUAUCCAUCCCAUCCUGUAAUGAGUAAAGAGGAUGGCCUUGAAGAGCAGAGAGAAGAUCCAUUACUAAGGCAAUGAUUAAAUAAACAAGACUUGAGCCUGGGCCAAGAAGGUAGUUUAGACAAAAGAGGGAGAAAAGAUGCAGUUCCGUCCAAAGGGAGAAGUCAAGAAGAUGGUUAAAAAAGAAAGAAAAACUAAGGGGAUGCACAAAGGACAGCAAUGGACUGUGCAGGAGCCAUCGCCUCAUCACUGAUCCAGAAUAAAAUUUCCACAAGAUCAAAA